rnacentral:rRNA from 1 species
GACGAACGCUGGCGGCGUGCUUAACACAUGCAAGUCGAACGGAAAGACGCUGCUCUUGCGGGGUUCUCGAGUGGCGAACGGGGGAGUAACACGCGAGUAUCCUGCCCUUGUCUUUGGGAUAACAUUAGGAAACUGGGGCUCAUACCGGAUAGGAGAUACUGCUGCAUGGGGGGGGUUGGUAAGUUUCGGCGGUUGUGGAUGGACUGGCGGGUUAUCAGCUUGUUGGUGGGGUAGGGGCUUACCAAGGCUUUGACGGGUAGCCGGCCUGAGAGCGUGACCGGCGACAUUGCGACUGAGAUACGGCGCAGACUCCUACGUGCGGCAGUAGUGGGGAAUAUUGCACAGUGGGCGCACGUCUGAUGCAGCAACGCCGCGUGCGGGAUGACGGCCUUCGGGUUGUAAACCGCUUUCGCCUGUGCCGAAGCGUGAGUGACGGUAAUGGGUAAGGAAGCACCGGCUAACUACGUG